rnacentral:rRNA from 1 species
AUUGAACGCUGGCGGCAGGCUUAACACAUGCAAGUCGAACGAUGAUUAUCUAGCUUGCUAGAUAUGAUUAGUGGCGGACGGGUGAGUAACAUUUAGGAAUCUGCCUAGUAGUGGGGGAUAGCUCGGGGAAACUCGAAUUAAUACCGCAUACGACCUACGGGUGAAAGGGGGCGCAAGCUCUUGCUAUUAGAUGAGCCUAAAUCAGAUUAGCUAGUUGGUGGGGUAAAGGCCCACCAAGGCGACGAUCUGUAACUGGUCUGAGAGGAUGAUCAGUCACACCGGAACUGAGACACGGUCCGGACUCCUACGGGAGGCAGCAGUGGGGAAUAUUGGACAAUGGGGGCAACCCUGAUCCAGCCAUGCCGCGUGUGUGAAGAAGGCCUUUUGGUUGUAAAGCACUUUAAGCAGGGAGGAGAGGCUAAUGGUUAAUACCCAUUAGAUUAGACGUUACCUGCAGAAUAAGCACCGGCUAACUCUGUGCCAGCAGCCGCGGUAAUACAGAGGGUGCGAGCGUUAAUCGGAAUUACUGGGCGUAAAGCGAGUGUAGGUGGCUCAUUAAGUCACAUGUGAAAUCCCCGGGCUUAACCUGGGAACUGCAUGUGAUACUGGUGGUGCUAGAAUAUGUGAGAGGGAAGUAGAAUUCCAGGUGUAGCGGUGAAAUGCGUAGAGAUCUGGAGGAAUACCGAUGGCGAAGGCAGCUUCCUGGCAUAAUAUUGACACUGAGAUUCGAAAGCGUGGGUAGCAAACAGGAUUAGAUACCCUGGUAGUCCACGCCGUAAACGAUGUCUACUAGCCGUUGGGGUCCUUGAGACUUUAGUGGCGCAGUUAACGCGAUAAGUAGACCGCCUGGGGAGUACGGCCGCAAGGUUAAAACUCAAAUGAAUUGACGGGGCCCGCACAAGCGGUGGAGCAUGUGGUUUAAUUCGAUGCAACGCGAAGAACCUUACCUGGUCUUGACAUAGUGAGAAUCCUGCAGAGAUGCGGGAGUGCCUUCGGGAAUUCACAUACAGGUGCUGCAUGGCUGUCGUCAGCUCGUGUCGUGAGAUGUUGGGUUAAGUCCCGCAACGAGCGCAACCCUUUUCCUUAUUUGCCAGCGGGUUAAGCCGGGAACUUUAAGGAUACUGCCAGUGACAAACUGGAGGAAGGCGGGGACGACGUCAAGUCAUCAUGGCCCUUACGACCAGGGCUACACACGUGCUACAAUGGUAGGUACAGAGGGUCGCUACACAGCGAUGUGAUGCUAAUCUCAAAAAGCCUAUCGUAGUCCGGAUUGGAGUCUGCAACUCGACUCCAUGAAGUCGGAAUCGCUAGUAAUCGCAGAUCAGAAUGCUGCGGUGAAUACGUUCCCGGGCCU